AUGUACGCCUUAUUCAACGCGUAAAUGCAACAGUAAUUGGAGUAUGUUUUAUAGGCUUUAUCAUUUUUAUUUAAGCCGCCUUCAGUGGUGGGGGGCUAGACAGACCCCUACCUCGUAUAUUAAGAGAGUCCGGAGCCUAAAGGCAUAAAAAUACACGAUUUUUACCAAAAGGGAAUAUCUAAAAAUUAUUAUACCAAAACGGGUAUAUCGUGGGCUGAUCCACGAUAUACCCCAAAAUUUUUUUUUUACCUUGUCAGACGAUUCAACCAAAAGCAAAAAAAAAAAAAAAAUUUACAUGUAUAACGUGGACUGAUCCACGUUAUACAAGCAAAAAAAAAUUUCUGACACACUGCUUCUUUUCCACAACUGAUAAGGAUGAACUCUAUCUUAACUUGGUUCUUGAGUAUGUACCUGAAACUGUUCACCGUGUUAUCAAACACUACAACAAGCUGAACCAACGGAUGCCAUUGAUACUUGUGAAGCUUUAUACAUAUCAGAUUUUCAGGGCAUUAUCUUACAUACACCGCACCAUUGGAGUGU